rnacentral:rRNA from 1 species
CGGACGGGUGAGUAAUGUCUGGGAAACUGCCUGAUGGAGGGGGAUAACUACUGGAAACGGUAGCUAAUACCGCAUAACGUCGCAAGACCAAAGAGGGGGACCUUCGGGCCUCUUGCCAUCGGAUGUGCCCAGAUGGGAUUAGCUAGUAGGUGGGGUAACGGCUCACCUAGGCGACAAUCCCUAGCUGGUCUGAGAGGAUGACCAGCCACACUGGAACUGAGACACGGUCCAG